AUUGAACGCUGGCGGCAGGCCUAACACAUGCAAGUCGAACGAGUGGCGGACGGGUGAGUAAUGUCUGGGAAACUGCCCGCUGGAGGGGGAUAACUACUGGAAACGGUAGCUAAUACCGCAUCCCAUCGGAUGGCCCCAUAUGGGAUUAGCUUGUUGGGGGGGCAACGGCUCCCCUAGGCGACGAUCCCUAGCUGGUCUGAGAGGAUGACCAGCCACACUGGAACUGAGACCCGGUCCAGACUCCUCCGGGAGGCAGCAGUGGGGACUAUUGCACAAUGGGCGCAAGCCUGAUGCAGCCAUGCCGCGUGUAUGAAGAAGGCCUUCGGGUUGUAAAGUACUUUCGGCGAGGGGGCGUUACUCGCAGAAGAAGCACCGGCUAACUCCGUGCCAGCAGCCGCGGUAAUUC
rnacentral:rRNA from 1 species